rnacentral:rRNA from 1 species
AACGGCCAUACCAUGCUGAAUAUACCGGUUCUCGUUAGAUCACCGAAGUCAAGCAUUAUUGGCCGCGGUCAGUACUUGGGAUGGGUAACCAUCUGGGAACACCGCGGGUCGUU